CAUUGCUCUCCAGCCAGAUGCUCAGCCGCAGUUCUUCUGGACUCGACCCAUUCCGGUGGCCUUACAACCAGCAGUCAGCUACCACACAAAGUCGUAUCAACUCCCUGAGUGAAGCCAGGUACCCCAGCUACUAUAGCAAUAAAUGGAUUGUCUGUCUUACCUAUGCCGUAAUUUCAUGCCUGCCCUCUUCAGAUAUUUUGAAAUGAUGGAUGGAGAAAAUUUGCUGCCUCUGAUCUAUUAACUGUUCCUACAUUCUGGAAGAAAACACAUUUUAAAUUUAUCACUGCAAUCAGUCAAGAGCUGGCAGACAACUUUAUUAUCUGGUAUGUGAUGAAAAUCAUAGUAUAUGUACCAUUAAUAUAUCUGUUAUUCAAACGUAUC